UCAGUCUAAUGGCACUAAGAGGGCACUGGUAAUUGAAAAAGCAGAUUUUUUCCAUUCUGGCGUGUACAGCUGCAAGACAAAGGGUGCUGCUGUUCAGUUUAAUGUGGAAAUUAAAGCUCCACCAGUGAGAUUCUCAGCUGGUCCAGAAACCGAGAGGAGAAUGUGCAUUGAAGCAGGCUGCCCAAUUGUGCUGCAGUGCAAGGUAUCAGACUCCACUGGGGAGGUUCGCUGGUUCAAGGAUGGGAAGCAAAUUCUCUCACAAGCUGGCAUAGACUUCCACUCAGAAGCCUGCAUAAGGAGACUAACUAUUGAAUCAGCAGCCCCAUCUCAUGCUGGUGUGUACAGGUGCACAACAAAAGAUGACAUCGUUGAAUUUCAAGUUGAGAUCAAAGCAGCUGUGCCAGUGCGGUUCUCAACUGUUCCGGAAGUUGAGAAGAGUAAAUGCAUUGAAGCUGGCAGCUAUUUUGAGCUCCGCUGUGAGAUAUCAGAUCCUGCAGCAGAUGUUCACUGGUAUAAGGAUGAAAAAGAGAUUUUCAUGGAAGCUGGCUGGGACAUACAAGCAGAAGGCACACUAAGGA